rnacentral:lncRNA from 1 species
GUUAUAGGUGUAACACCACUAAUUCAGGCCCGGCCAGAAAGCACAUACCAGAAAGUAGUACAUAUUUAACACAAAAUAGUUCCUACGCAUGGACAUAACUUUCAAAAUAUUUAGAAUAUUUUAUUAAUUUUGGUAUCAAAUGAAAGCUGCAUGACUGGUGAUCAUUGCAGAACAAUUUUUGACUGAUAAAUUUGAAUAAUAAAAAAAUGGCAUGAAAUUUUAAAAAGGAGGGUACAUUUUGCCUUUUUGUCAGAUCGGAAGUACCUGUUUUGGUACAUCCGAAGUUCCGGGAACCAGUUCUUUCUUAUAUGCAAUGUAAGGUAUGUUGAUUUUUUCAGUACAGGACACCAGAAGGUGUUGCUUUGACAUGCAAUGAUUGUCACUUUAUUUGAACUUAAGAUAAAAGAGCUGUGACCACUCGAAAUUGAGGAAUUUAACAUAGAAAGCAAUGGGGCCAUUAAUUAGUGGUGUACUUCCUAUUACAGAGAAUCACCAGAAAUCCAAUUUUUAGAAGUUGUACCUAUUCCAAUGAAAAUAAGUCCAAUUUGAUGUUAGUAAUCAUGUUUAAUCAUCUUUUUUUGGUCAACCGUCCUGCUUAUGGGAAAUUUAAGCUCUUAAAUUGGCAUACUCAAGUAUGUUAGCCUUUUAUGGUCAUACAGCAUGCAUGCAGUUAAGACUUGACUCCAAGUUCUUAUUUUUGCAUUUUUUCUGAUUGAAAUCAAUAAAACAAGUAUUUUAUGACUUGUAUAUGGAACAAAAUAGCUCUUGGUCAAAAUAAUCUUAUGAUUUUUCAAGUUUUUUUGUUUUUCUUAUGGUAGCCUUUUACAAUCAAGGCAAAUGGUACAUACUCAUAUAAGAAUUCUAAAAUCUCACUGUACAUGCAAUUUUGAACCAGUUUAGCAAGUUAUCUAGCUGAGGGAUAUAUAAAUUGCUCUUAUUAAUCUAUGUUUUACCACAGAAUUAUGGUAUAUACAAAAAAAAAGCCCUUUUCCAGUUUCAAGAAAAAAGGGGGGAUAAUUUCUCAUUUAUGUCUUAAGUUUAAACUGAUAUAUUUUUAUUUAAUGAAGAACCUCUGAUAAAAAUAUGACUAUUAGUAAGCACAUAGCUUUCCUAAUAGAAAUUAAUAAAUAAAACAAUAAUAUUGAGAAUAAAAAAGGUAUAUUGGCCAAUGGUAAUAUCCAUAUGCAGUUUUCUUUGAAUAACCCAUAUGUUACUACCAGUCCAAUUUGAGCUUAAAAUUAAUAAAAUAGUAUUUGGACUAAAGCUU